AAAAAUGAAGGGUAAGUUUUGGGGUAUUACAGAUAACAAAAGACCUUAAGGCUUUUGGACCAAUCAAACCACUCACUCAUUUUGAGAUUUUUACCCCGAACUACGAGGUUUUGAUCCUAAUCUUUUUUAAGAUGGUACGUAGGCAAUGGGUUCAUCCAUUCAAACACAAAAUGUAAAUAAACUUGUAUAUUCUUUUCUCAUCUCUUCAAUCAUGUUUGCACAAAUAAAUUUUCACAAAAAUACCAACCUUACAACAAAUGUGAAAAGGGCUCCCU
rnacentral:lncRNA from 1 species